rnacentral:rRNA from 1 species
CGCGUAGGCGGCUUGGUAAGUCGGUGGUGAAAUCCCGCGGCUCAACUGCGGAAUUGCCAUCGAUACUGCCGAGCUUGAAUCCGGGAGAGGUCGGCGGAAUUACUGGUGUAGCGGUGAAAUGCGUAGAUAUCAGUAGGAACACCGAUGGCGAAGGCAGCUGGCUGGACCGGAAUUGACGCUGAGGCGCGAAAGCGUGGGUAGCAAACAGGAUUAGAUACCCUGGUAGUCCACGCCCUAAACGAUGAAUGCUUGCUGUGACCGGCGCAGUGCCGGUUGUGGCGCAGCUAACGCUUUAAGCAUUCCGCCUGGGGAGUACGCACGCAAGUGUGAA